rnacentral:rRNA from 1 species
GUCGAGAAUCUUCCGCAAUGCGCGAAAGCGUGACGGAGCGACACCGCGUGAUGGAUGAAGUCCUUCGGGGCGUAAACAUCUUUUAUAAAGGAGGAAAUUUUUGACGUUACUUUAUGAAUAAGGGGCUCCCAAUCUCGUGCCAGCAGGAGCGGUAAUACGAGAGCCUCAAGCGUUAUCCGGAAUCAUUGGGCGUAAAGGGUGCGUAGGUGGUUUGAUUAUUCUCCCGUUAAAACGUCGAGCUUAACUCGAAAAGAGCGGGGGAAACGGUCAAAGUAGAGUAUGUGAGAGGUGUGUGGAACUCAUGGUGUAGGGGUGAAAUCCGUUGAUAUCAUGGGGAACACCAAAAGCGAAGGCAGCACACUGGCACAUCACUGACACUGAGGCACGAAACCUAAGGUAGCGAAUGGGAUUAGAUACCCGAGUAGUCC